GCAGGCGAGCGGAAGGCGUCUUUCGAGCUCCCUUUCAGAUAGGAAUCUGGGACAGAUUUUGCCAACAGCCAGAAGCGGGGCCCUUUGGUAAUAAAAUAGCCAAUGUAAUUUGACACUUCAACUUGCUGUGCUCUCUGCGAGUUGAUUCACUUAUUCUUCUACUAACACUGUGCUCCUUUUCCCUGUCUGGGAGAGGGUUGGGGUUGAUUUUUUGUUUUUAUUUUUUUUUCCUGGAAAAGCACGCAAUAAGAGCGAUUGAAAGACACACACACGCACACACGCACACCCGCAAACUUCACCUUUCAAAGCCGCCGGACCGCGACCUGCAAUCCGCAGGGGAGAGGGACUAUUUUGAUUUUGAUUUAUUUCGAUGAUCACCCUUCUUCUCUUGAUGGUUGCCUUGCCUGCCUGCUUCCGUAUGCGUUUUCCCCGCUGGCGAGCCGUGCUCGUUUCCUUCCCCCGCUCCGUCCCCGAGCCAUAGGAACGACCUUGAUGAAUGCAGGCAUUGCUCCCAGCUUCCUCCACCUCCUCUCUCUGUUUGUUAAGAGCUCCUGUACGUUAAUUGAUGUUGGCCUCUUCCAAGAGUUAAAAGAAAGAAUCUGAGGAAUUUACUAUACAAGAUCACAUUUGCCUUUCUUAACACUAAGCAAGGGGAAGAGACAACUCAAACCAGCAGUUUUGUUCCUAAAUGGUGAGCCAUCUAAAGGAAAAUAGAUCCUGUUAUGUGAAGUCUCAGAAGGUCUAGGCGGUACUGCUCCUGGAGAGGAGAUGCUUAUGGGACACUCAGCUUGAGGGAUUUUAAUGGCUUUCAGGUAGAAGUGAAGGGGAGACAAUCGAAAUGAAUUCUAUGGACAGACACAUACAGCAGACUAAUGAUCGGCUGCAGUGCAUA